rnacentral:rRNA from 14 species
CCGGAGGAAAAGAAAUCAACCGAGAUUCCCUAAGUAGCGGCGAGCGAAAGGGGAACAGCCCUGUUUACCACAAGCCUGAAUUAUUUAGAUGAACGUUCUGGAAAGUUCGGCCAUAGCGGGUGAUAGCCCCGUAAUCGAAAAGUAAUUCAGGUGGGGUAACGAAGAGUAGGACGGGACACGUGUUAUCUUGUCUGAACAUGGGGGGACCAUCCUCCAAGGCUAAAUACUCUCAGCUGACCGAUAGUGAACCAGUACCGUGAGGGAAAGGUGAAAAGCACCCCGACGAGGGGAGUGAAAGAGACCUGAAACCGGAUGCCUACAAGCAGUUGGAGCCCAAGGUCCGUCCUGGGUGACAGCGUACCUCUUGCAUAAUGGGUCAGCGACUUAAUCUGGCAAGCAAGCUUAAGCCGAUAGGUGUAGGCGCAGCGAAAGCAAGUCUUAAUAGGGCGAAUGAGUUUGUCGGAUUAGACCCGAAACCAGGUGAUCUAGAUAUGAGCAGGUUGAAGGUGCAGUAACAUGCACUGGAGGACCGAACCCACGCCUGUUGAAAAAGGCGGGGAUGACUUGUGCCUAGGGGUGAAAGGCCAAUCAAACUCGGAAAUAGCUGGUUCUCCGCGAAAUCUAUUUAGGU